rnacentral:rRNA from 1 species
UUGAUUGGUGCUUGCAUCAUGAUUUACAUUUGAGUGAGUGGCGAACUGGUGAGUAACACGUGGGAAACCUGCCCAGAAGCGGGGGAUAACACCUGGAAACAGAUGCUAAUACCGCAUAACAACUUGGACCGCAUGGUCCGAGUUUGAAAGAUGGCUUCGGCUAUCACUUUUGGAUGGUCCCGCGGCGUAUUAGCUAGAUGGUGGGGUAACGGCUCACCAUGGCAAUGAUACGUAGCCGACCUGAGAGGGUAAUCGGCCACAUUG